GACGAACGCUGGCGGCGUGCUUAACUCAUGCAAGUCGAACGGAAAGGCCCUGCUUUUGUGGGGUGCUCGAGUGGCGAACGGGUGAGUAACACGUGAGUAACCUGCCCUUGACUUUGGGAUAACUUCAGGAAACUGGGGCUAAUACCGGAUAGGAGCUCCUGCUGCAUGGCGGGGGUUGGAAAGUUUCGGCGGUUGGGGAUGGACUCGCGGCUUAUCAGCUUGUUGGUGGGGUAGUGGCUUACCAAGGCUUUGACGGGUAGCCGGCCUGAGAGGGUGACCGGCCACAUUGGGACUGAGAUACGGCCCAGACUCCUACGGGAGGCAGCAGUGGGGAAUAUUGCACAAUGGGCGGAAGCCUGAUGCAGCAACGCCGCGUGCGGGAUGACGGCCUUCGGGUUGUAAACCGCUUUCGCCUGUGACGAAGCGUGAGUGACGGUAAUGGGUAAAGAAGCACCGGCUAACUACGUG
rnacentral:rRNA from 1 species